CAGGAAAGCUCUAUCUCUUGCCUGAGUCGUCUUCAGAUUCUAGAACCAACUGGCUGGUCUGUGGGCAGGCCUGUUCAGGCAGAGUCCUAACUCAACUUGCCAUUCUGUGUUGCAAUACAAAACCAACAGACUCUACAGGCAAACAGACAAGACUGGAUUCGGUCUCUUACAAAGUAGAAGACUGUAGAAAAUUGAGAACAUAAAGCUAAGCAAAUGGAAAAAAAAUAAAAAUAAACUACAAUUUACCAUAAUUCAACACUUUUAACAUUUUGAGAAAGUAGUAGCUGCCCAUUUCUGCAUCCUGGCUGCAUCCGUGAGCCUGGUUCUCUGAAGUCAGAGCUUGUUUGUGAUCGUGACUUUGCUCCCAGGUGCCUGGUACCCAAGGAAAGCAUGCAAACAGAGGCAGCAAAGUUGUAUAUCUUAGUUGAGGUUCUUCUAGCUGUGGGAUGUGGGCCGCCACCUCAACGUGGCCUGAUGAGCAGUGCCAUGUCCAGGUCCAGGAUCUGAACCCUGGGCCGCCGCAGCGGAGUGUGUGAACUUAACCACUCGGCCAUGGAGCCAGCCCCUGGGAUUUAUCUUGAUAUCAGACUGGCCCUGAGCUAACAUCCACGCCCAUCUUCCUCUACGUUGUAUGUGGGACGCCUGCCGCAGCAUGGAUUGCCAAGCGGCUGUCUUAAGCGGAAUUCCAACCAGAUGUAGCGGAAGGGGUCCAGAGUUUCCGCUCCAGCGAACAGGCUCUCCAUGAUGUUGGGCUAACAGCAGUUGAGGAUCUUUCCACGCCAGAAAUGGGGGGAGGGUAUGUCUAAUGCAAAGAGAAAUAAAGUUCUGUAAGUUCUGUAAGUGCCACUCUUAUUCUAUGUUCCUUAGAAAUUAUAAUCUGCUGGAGGUAAGGGAACAAGUCUGUUAGCGUGCAGUAGACUCCUCGGUUUUAUGUUAAACACAUGAUUUCUGAUGAGGAAGUUACAGUUUCCUCUGAUGAUAAUCUUCCCUGUUCAUUGCUUGUCUCAUUGUCAAACUCAGCUUGGAGGGCUUUGUGAAUUCUCCUGAAAAGCUUUCUUUCCAGGCAGAAAGAAAGUUUGAGGUCAGAAGAAGGACACGGUGCAGAGAAUGUAAAAGCUCAUGGGAUUUGUUGAGCGAUGAGACCCUCUCUAGCUCAUAAAAAAAUAGAAAGCUCUUUCUUGCUGUCAAACUGAAAAUUUACCUAGACAAGUAGAAAACAAACAUAGGGAAAAUUAUUCCGAAAGCAUUUGUGCUUUCAGGCUUUCCAUUCCUUUGAAAAAACAUUCUCCAUCAGCAAGGGUAGGAGAAGAUGAAUUCUGCAGCAAAUGGGGUAGGAAGAAAGGGGCCACCCAGCAUCUAUAGGAGAAGAUUGGACCAGAGGGUAAACUGAAGGCAUGAGGCAUUGCUGUUGUCCUUGUUAAACCCACUGUGUGGAAGAGGUGGUGCUGAUGCUUCCAGCAAUGAACAGUGAGGGACUACCUAGCCAGCAGUAAGCCCUACUCUGUGUCUAGACAUCACAUAUGCGGAGGAACAGUCUCCCAAGGACAUGGCUGGCUAAUUACCUGGAGCCUGGAUGGAGAGAGAAGAUUAUAUUACAUGCUCCGGGAUGUUCCAUUAAGCUGAGUCCUGGUUCAGGGCCAAUAUUUUUGUUCAGUGAUGCUUGUUGCCUUCGACUUCUCCCUGGCAGAGUUUAUCUCCCUGAAGAAACAUGGGGAUAACUCUAAAAAGCAGUCCAUAGACUAUUUAUCAAAAGCCUGGAGCAUUUUUCUGUCUCCAGAUAGAGGCAUCUUCUGGAAAAAGGAGCACUGGACUGAGAGGCAUUUGUGCUGUACUCUAGGAUGACCUGGCACUGCCGUUGAGCAGGUGUUUGACUUAGGGCAAAUUGGUUGUACUCGCAAAAACACCAUUUUCCAACCUAUAAAUUGAGAGAAAAUGCAGAUUUUCUUCAAAUUAAAACCAACUAGAAAACCCACUAUAUUUAACAGAUAAAUUCAGAGCGGCUCUUGAUUGAUGGGACCAAGGACACAUUGCUUACUUUACUCUGCUCCUUCCCCCAUCCCUUCAAGUGGCUUCACCCUUAUUUAGGUGCCCAGAGUCCUCAAAAAAGUCUUCCAUGCUCAUCCUCCUAGAGAUCACAUAGCAGAAAUGUCAGACUUUUAUUACUGUGGUUUUAGACUUGUGUGAAGUCUCCUACAUUUUCAGUAGGAGAAUGACCCUGAAGGUGAUUUUUACAAAGAGAAUAGAAACAUACAAGAAGAUGUCUGUGUUCUGCAAUGUGAGGCUUAAAAAAAAAAAUUCAGUUCCUCCCUAUUGUUUGGAAAUCUGUAUUGAUUUUGUUCAAAUUAAACUAUAUUGAUACUAUGUCAUUGUGUGGGUCAUGGUUGUAUAUUGCUGUUGGUUAAAAAAAUUCACCGUGUUGGUAAGUUUCAAAAGGGAGAGUGGGUGAGGACAAAAGCUUGUCUAGUAGAUGUUUUGUCCUGACUAAGAGAAGGAAAGGAACACUGGGAAAAUAAUAAAAAAGCCGAGGUUUGUGGAAGGAGUUCUUGAGUUAAGGCUUUCACUAAACCAAAAUGUCAGGUGAAAAACCAGGAAGCCGAGAGAUGGACACAUUUGAACUAUUAGUUUUUUUGUUUAAAGAAUGUGUCUAAGUUAUGAGUAGAUUUUUAUAGAAUCCUAAAAUAUUGAAAUUUUAAAGCUAGACGGGAUCACAAUGAUUUUCUCCCAAGAGUGGCUUUGGGUUUUGAGAGAGAAGCUUUUCCUUUUUCUUUUAACGAGUGUUCAUAUAUAAGCAAAAGAUUUUGAUCUUUUGACAGUCACUUAGGGAAUAUGCUUCUUUGGAACAUACAUGAGGUUGUGGAAUGACUGGCAAAGCCUUUCUGGGAAAAAUAAUGUUAUAGUACACUGGGGUAAACUGAAAAAUCAAAGUAAUUACCCUAAAUUUAUCAAGAUAAUUUCAUUAAUACUGAUCACUAUCAAAAAUUGUUUUUGAGAUCACUAGAGCAGUCCUCAGUUGAACUGGAAUUACUUAUGGACUUUAGUGAUGGUAUUUUUAUUUGAAAAACAAAAUACAAUCAAUUAAGCCACAUCUGGGGAAAAAGCUCACAUUUUAGGAAUUAUUUUAACAUAAACUUCUUUAUGUUACAUAUAGCCUCACUGUCAAUUACUAGACAUAAUUACAUAUUUUCUUG
ensembl:lncRNA